rnacentral:rRNA from 1 species
CUUAGUGGCGGACGGGUGAGUAACGCGUGAGAAUCUGCCUUCAGGACGGAGACAACAGUUGGAAACGACUGCUAAGCCCCGAUGUACCGAAAGGGAAAAUAUUUAUAGCCUGAAGAUGAGCUCGCGUCCGAUUAGCUAGUUGGCGGAGUAAAAGCCCACCAAGGCGACGAUCGGUAGCUGGUCUGAGAGGACGAUCAGCCACACUGGGACUGAGACACGGCCCAG